rnacentral:rRNA from 1 species
AACGAACGCUGGCGGUAUGCUUUACACAUGCAAGUCGAACGGGCAAGAGCCGUAGCAAUACGGAGUUCUGCUAGUGGCAAACGGGUGAGUAACGCGUGGGAAACUACCUUAUAGUACGGAAUAGCCCCGGGAAACUGGGAUUAAUACCGUAUACGCUCUUCGGAGGAAAGAUUUAUCGCUAUAAGAUGUGCCCGCGUUAGAUUAGCUUGUUGGUGAGGUAAUGGCUCACCAAGGCGACGAUCUAUAGCUGGUUUGAGAGGAUGAUCAGCCACACUGGAACUGAGACACGGUCCAGACUUCUACGGGAGGCAGCAGUGGGGAAUAUUGGACAAUGGGCGAAAGCCUGAUCCAGCAAUACCGCGUGAGUGAUGAAGGCCUUAGGGUUGUAAAACUCUUUCAGUGGGGAAGAUAAUGACGGUACCCACAGAAGAAGCACCGGCUAACUCCGUGCCAGCCGCCGCCGUAA